GAGGUGACAGUGCCACCGUCCCCGCGUGUCCCCAGCGCCGAGGAAGCAGGCCGCUACCUGGAGACCUACAAAGCCUACGAGCAGAAACCGCCCGACCUGCUGCGAGAGCGCGUGGAAUGCGGCGCCCUGCCCAGGGUCCGUGUCCCCAAGUGUCCCCAGAUGUCACCACGUGUCCCCAAAGGACCCCACCUGUCCCCAAGUGUCCCCCCCACCUGUCCCCCCUAUGUGUCCCCACAUGCCCUCAAUGUCCCCCCCCGUGUCCCCACGUGUCCCCAUGUGUCCCCCAAUGUACCCCCACGUGUCCCCACAUGUCCCCAAUGUCCCCCCAUGUGUCCCCACAUGUCCCCAGAUGUCAUCACCUGUCCCCCACGUGUCCCCAAAUGUUCCCACGUGUCCCCAAAUGUCCCCAGUGUCCCCCCACGUGUCCCCAGAUGUCCCCACGUGUCCCCCACUCUGCCACCCAGGGGUCCCCAGAGCUGCUGCCACCAGGGGGCGCUGUUCCCGUGUCCACAAAGGACAGCGCUGUGUCCCCAGGGGGUGUCACUUUGUGUCCCUAUGUCCCCAGUGGGUGUCAGUCUGUGUCCCCAUGUCCCCAUGGGGCAGUGUCCCCGUGCCCCCCAUAGUUGCCACGUGGUGUCCUGGUGUCACUCUCUGUCCCCAGUGGGUGUCACUCUGUGUCCCCAUGCCCCCCAUGGAUGCCACCUGGUGUCACCGUGUGUCCCCAUGUCCUCAGUGGCUGUCACUCUGUGUCCCCAGUGUCACCAUGUGUCCCCACUGGGUGUCACUGUGUGUCCCCAGUGUCGCUCUGUGUCACUCUGUGUCCCCAUGUCUCCCGUGGGUGUCACUCUGUGUCCCCGUGCCACCAAGCGUCCCCACGUGUCCCCGCAGAUGACGGAGUGCCUGACCAGCGUCAAAGCCGUGAACCGCACGGACGCGCUCAGCCUGCUCAGCACCUUCGGGUCGCUGGCGGCGGUGGCACGCGCCCCCCGAGAGGAGCUGUCCCUGUGCCCCGGCAUCGGCCCCCAGAAGGUGAGUGACACGGGGACGGGGGGGGCGGGGGGGCACUGGGGACACUAUGGGGUCAGUGGGGACAAUGGGGGCACUGGGGACAUUGGGGGCACUGGGGACACCAUGGGGACAAUGGGGUCAGUGGGGACGCAUUAGGGUCAGUGGGGACAAUGGGGUCAGUGGGGCCAUAUUGGGGCCAUUGUUGGCAGUGGGGUCAGUGGGGACAAUGGGGACACAGUGGGGUCAAUGGGGACGCAUUGGGGUCAGUGGGGACCCUGGGGACAUACUGGGGACAAUGGGGACAGUGGAGGUAUCGGGGUCAGCAGGGACAUGGGGGACACACUGGGGACAAUGGGGAUACUGGGGUCAAUGGGGCCAUACUGGGGCAUUAAUGGGGUCAAUGGGGACAUUGGGGACAAUGGGGUGAGUGGCACUGGGGUCAGUGGAGUCAUUGGGGUCAAUGGGGUCAGUGGGGACAAUGGGGACAGUGGCAUUUGGGUCAAUGGGGACACUGGGGACAAUGGGUGAGUGGUAUUGGGGUCAAUGGGGUCAGUAGGGACACACUGGGGACAUUGGGAUCAGUGGGGUCACCGGGAACAUGGGGGACACAUUGAGGACAAUGGAGGUACUGGGGUCAGUGGGGCCACAGUGGGGUCAGUGGGGACAAUGGGGACAUUGGGGACAAUGGGGUGAGUGGUAUUGGGGUCAGUGGAGUCAUUGGGGUCAGUGGGGACACAAUGGGGCCAGGGGGGACACAUUGAGGACUUUGGGGUCAGUGGGGACCUUGGGGUCAGUGAAGUCACCGGAGACA
rnacentral:lncRNA from 1 species